GCUAUGACUAGAGCUAUGACUGUGCCACUGUACUCCAGCUUGGGUGACAGAUUUAAUCCCAGGUAUGCAAGCCGGGUUCUACAUUUAAAAAUCAAUUAAUUAAAGUUUGUGUGGAAAGGUAAAAGACUCAUAAAAGCCAACACAGUUGCAUUGGCUGAAAUAGAACAAGGCCAGAGGGCUAACCCCACAGAGGCCACAAUCUCUGCCCCCUCCAGCCUGCCCUCCUGGAAGCCCCCUCCUCUUUCCUUCCUUCUCAACUCCUGUGCAUGGUUCCAGCCUUGGCCAAGAGUCCUCUCCUCCAGGAAGCCCCUGCAUCCCCGCUGAGCCAGGCACCUUCCUUUGAGGUCCUUUGCACCCUGAGAGGCCUCCAGCCAG
rnacentral:lncRNA from 1 species